UGAGUGGCGAAACGGGUGAGUAACACGUGGGAAAUCUGCCUAGGAGUGGGGGAUAACAUUCGGAAACGGAUGCUAAUACCGCAUAUCUUCAUAGACCGCAUGGUCUAUGAAUGAAAGACGGCUUUGCUGUCGCUCUUAGAUGAUCCCGCGGCGUAUUAGUUAGUUGGUGGGGUAAAGGCCUACCAAGACAAUGAUACGUAGCCGACCUGAGAGGGUGAUCGGCCACACUGGGACUGAGACACGGCCCAGACUCCUACGGGAGGCAGCAGUAGGGAAUCUUCCACAAUGGGUGCAAACCUGAUGGAGCAAUGCCGCGUGAAUGAAGAAGGUCUUCGGAUCGUAAAGUUCUGUUAUUAGUGAAGAACAAAUCGAGGAGUAACUGUCUCGAUUUUGACGGUAACUAACCAGAAAGUCACGGCUAACUACGUGCCAGCAGCCGCGGUAAUACGUAGGUGACAAGCGUUGUCCGGAAUUAUUGGGCGUAAAGGGAGCGCAGGCGGUUGGAAUAGUCUGAUGUGAAAGCCCACGGCUUAACCGUGGAAGGUCAUUGGAAACUGUCCAACUUGAAUGCAGAAGAGGUAAGUGGAAUUCCAUGUGUAGCGGUGAAAUGCGUAGAUAUAUGGAGGAACACCAGUGGCGAAGGCGACUUACUGGUCUGUGAUUGACGCUGAGGCUCGAAAGCGUGGGUAGCGAACAGGAUUAGAUACCCUGGUAGUCCACGCCGUAAACGAUGAGUGCUAAGUGUUGGAGGGUUUCCGCCCUUCAGUGUUGGAGUAACGCAU
rnacentral:rRNA from 1 species